AUUGAACGCUGGCGGCAGGCUUAACACAUGCAAGUCGAGCGGGGGAGGUUGCUUCGGUAACUGACCUAGCGGCGGACGGGUGAGUAAUGCUUAGGAAUCUGCCUAUUAGUGGGGGACAACAUUCCGAAAGGGAUGCUAAUACCGCAUACGCCCUACGGGGGAAAGCAGGGGAUCUUCGGACCUUGCGCUAAUAGAUGAGCCUAAGUCGGAUUAGCUAGUUGGUGGGGUAAAGGCCUACCAAGGCGACGAUCUGUAGCGGGUCUGAGAGGAUGAUCCGCCACCCUGGGACUGAGACACGGCCCAGACUCCUACGGGUGGCAGCAGUGAGGAAUAUUGGACAAUGGGCGGAAGCCUGAUCCAGCCAUGCCGCGUGUGUGAAGAAGGCCUUUUGGUUGUAAAGCACUUUAAGCGAGGAGGAGGCUACUAGUACUAAUACUACUGGAUAGUGGACGUUACUCGCAGAAUAAGCACCGGCUAACUCUGUGCCAGCCGCCGCCGUAAAAC
rnacentral:rRNA from 1 species